AUUGAACGCUGGCGGCAGGCCUAACACAUGCAAGUCGAACGAGUGGCGGACGGGUGAGUACUGUCUGGGAAACUGCCUGAUGGAGGGGGAUAACUACUGGAAACGGUAGCUAAUACCGCCUACCAUCGGAUGUGCCCAGCUGGGAUUAGCUAGUAGGUGGGGUAACGGCUCACCUAGGCGACGAUCCCUAGCUGGGCGGAGAGGAUGACCAGCCACACUGGAACUGAGACACGGUCCAGAAUCCUACGGGAGGCAGCAGUGGGGAAUAUUUGACAAUGGGCGAAAGUCUGAUGCAGCCAGGCCGCGUGUAUGAAGAAGGCCUUCGGGUGGUAAAGUACGUUCAGCGGGGAGGCGUUACCCGCAGAAGAAGCACCGGCUAACUCCGUGCCAGCCGCCGCGGUAAUAC
rnacentral:rRNA from 1 species